UACGGAGGGUGCGAGCGUUGUCCGGAAUCACUGGGCGUAAAGGGCGCGUAGGCGGCUCGGUAAGCGUGUGGUGAAAGCCUGGGGCUCAACCCCGGGUCGGCCAUGCGAACUGUCGAGCUGGAGCACUGUAGAGGCAGGCGGAAUUCCGGGUGUAGCGGUGGAAUGCGUAGAGAUCCGGAAGAACACCGGUGGCGAAGGCGGCUUGCUGGGCAGUAGCUGACGCUGAGGCGCGACAGCGUGGGGAGCAAACAGG
rnacentral:rRNA from 1 species